rnacentral:tRNA from 1 species
UCCCUUGUGGCUUGGUUGGUAGAGCAUGGUGUUUGCAACACCAGGGUUGUGGGUUCGAUUCCCACGGGGGAC